GGAGGCUGAUCAUCAAGCCAUUUCAAGAUAUCAUUCUUCUUCUUAACCUCGUCCGAAUCUACACGACUUUCAUUACUGUUUACGUUAAGUAAGGGUCCUACUGGAUAAACCGGAGGGAUCUCGGCAUCGGAUGAAAGAGCAUGAAGGGCAUGCGAUUCCAGGUCUGUGAACGUGUUCACCAAAAUACCCUUGGUAUCUCUAAACCUUUUGAUAACGUUGAGGAAUGACUCCGCUGAAUCCUUCACGAGUAUCCUUCCAGGUAGAACUUUAGCUGGCAAUGGAUUGAAAAAACUCGGGACGAUCAACUCAGCGUCGGAGUCUUUCAACUCAGUGCAGUCCUUGUUGUAUUGAUCGCGCAGCUCUUGGAGGUGGAACAUUAGCCCUAGUGUGGCGGCGCUGGAGGUGAAGAACACGUAGCUAGGAACCCCCAAUUGGUUGGCCACGUCGAUCAUAGUGGCACAGAACAUGUCGACGACAAACCCCGCAAGCCGAGUAGUCUUGGAGUCCCUGAGUUUUGUGACGGCAUCUUUAACAUGGGGUUGCUGGCUUUCAACAAAACCGACCAAGCUAUUCCGGACACUGCCUUCCGUAUGGUCCAUAUUGAUAUUUGGGAGGUUGAUGAAGUUGAUACGCUGUGAUAUGGGAGAAGAAGAGUCUGCAAGUGACUGGACAUAAGCAUCGGUGCCUUUGGAAACAGCGGGAAAGUGCAUGAUGAGGACAGUGAUGAAGAGUUGGUCGUCUCUAGACACGAGAAGCUUUGCGAUCUCAAGUGUUGAGACUAGAUGGCCUAUACCUGGGGAUGGGAUGAGAACGAGCUCUGCAGGUUUCUCCAUUUUUGGGAGCUUGAGAUUAUUCUGAGCUAACUACAUGUUUCGGCAGUAGCUAGGUAGGUACUUAAAUAUCGGAUUUUCUUUCUUGACAAACAAUUAACAUAUGAAUGAUGUCAUUGCUUUGCUCAUUUGCUAAAUACCAGUUCUCUAGAUUAUGUCAUUGAAUACAAGUUAUAAAACGGAACACGAAGUUUGGCAAGUCAGUCUUAAAAUCAAAGAUUGCAGAAAAUGCUAUUCAAUUCCAUAUAAUUUGACUUGUCUUUAUUAUUUAUUUAUUUUUGGUCUAAGACUUAUCUUUGUGUUUUUUUGUGGUCUGAACUUAUCUUUGUUGAAGAGACUACGUGGCGGAUGGAGAUCCCUUGAAUACAUGAUAGCAUGAUUUUUCUAAUAAGGUAAAAUUAAUUAGAACAAACAAGAGUUAAUCGUUAUCGUUGUCGUUGUUUGAUUGAGCGCCUUGAUCUUCAUAUCAGAUUAUCUGGUCUUGAACAAUGUUUGCACCUUAAUUAAUUAGCAAUUAAAUCUUAAAUAUAGAUUAUGAUACCUGUAUCUAAAUUGAAAUAAUCAUCAAGUUAAAUAUUGUGAAAGAGAAAGAGAGAUUUGGAAAACAAAUGGAACGAGAAGGAACUGGUGAUUGGGAAAGAAUGAGAUUAGAAGAAGAAGAGGCUAGGAGGCGUACGUUUCCCAGAGAUCAAAGUAAUUAAGCUUUUCCUUCCUUGAGGGAUGUGGGUUGCAGUUGAUGAAAGACCAAGAGGAAAUGAAAUUGUUUUCAUGAGAUGCGUCGCAAAAUGGAAUUCUAGUUUUGACCCAUGCACUUGACAAAAACAAAUCCAAUAAAAUGAAAGACAAUUUCUUCAAAGACUUCAUUUCACCAAGCUUCUAUAUACAUAAGAAAAUAUCAAAAGAUUUCCAUAUAGAGCAUCUCGCUUACUAAACAUAGAGACUCAAUAAGCAAAAACACUAUAACAUGCACUUUCUCCAAAUAGAGAACUCCGUAUUCCUUUAUUCACCAUGCUAGCUCAUAUUUCAUAAUAAUAACAAAGCUUUCCGAUCGAUCCCGAAUGUGAUCAACAUAAGCUUUAAAUUUGAUCAAUGAAGUGUCCCAAUGAAGCAUAUGAGGAACCCCCAUCCAUCAAAGCUUUCUUGCUAUUAUCACUCACUUGUUUCACCCUUUUCCUUAUAUCACUAUCGAGGUCCAUCAGCUCCUUUAUUCCACUCUGAAUUUUCUCUGCAGUCACAACAAUUGGACCAUCCUUCCUAUAGCUCAUAUCAAUUUCCACGGCUAUCCCUAGUUCCCUCACUAGCUGGAAAGCAUUUUGUUGCUGCUCAGCAUACAAGGGCCAUGUGGCAACCGGCACUCCAAACCACAAGCUCUCCAGAGUUGAAUUCCACCCGCAAUGAGAGACGAAACCUCCAACUGCUGGAUGGGAUAAGAUGGCAACUUGCGGCGCCCAGCCUAUAACUUUUCCGACUCCCGCCGUCUGAUCAAGGAACCCUUCAGGUAACACCCCCGUGUGAUCGGCAUAGUCACUGGGAACGCCAAUCUUUCCCUUGGGUGGAGGCUGACGCAGUGACCACAGAAACCGAAACCCUCCCUGCUCCAAUGCGCGGGCUAUCUCUUUCACCUGGUCUUCACUGAAGCUUCCCAUGCUCCCGAAGCAUAGAAACACUACAGACGACGGAGGCUGAUCAUCGAGCCAUUUCAAGAUAUCAGACGUCUGCUUCGACUGCUUCGAAUCCACUUGGUCAUUGUUGUCAUCGCUCUUCACGUUGAGUAUAGGUCCCACCGGAUACACCGGAGGGAGCUUGCCAUCGGAACUGAGAGAAAGAAGGGCAUGCGACUCCAGCUCUGUCAUUGUAUUUAUGAGAAUACCCUUGACAUCUCUAAUCCUUUUGGCUAAGUUGAGAAAACCGUUUCCUCCCUCCUUUUCGAAAAGGAUACCGGGCAAGACUCUAGCAGGCAAUGGAUUGGCGUAACUCGGAAUUACCAAAUCAGCAGUGGAGUCGUUAAACUCAAGAUAGUCUUUGUUUUGGUCAUCACGAAGUGCUUGAAGGUGGAGCAAGACCCCUAGAGAGGCUGCGCUGGAAGUGAAGAACACGUAGGUAGGAACCCCCAAUUCGUUGGCUACAUCGAUCAUGGAUGUGCAAAACAUGUCGAUGACAAACCCGGCGAGUCGAGUCUCGGUCUUGGACUCGAUGAGUUUGGCGACAACAUCUUUAACAUUGGUUUUCUGAGUGCCACUGAAGUUCAAGAAGUUGAUGGUGCUAUUACCUUGUGUCUCGAUAUUCUGUUGUGGGAGGUUGAUGAACUUGAUCCGGUGUGAUAUGGAUGAGUCCGCGAAGGACUCAAUGUAGGCAUCAAUGGGGUCUGAGCUGAACGGAAACUUCAUGAUGAGGACAGUGAUUAAGAGUCGGUCAUCUCGAGACAGGAGGAGCUUUGCCAACUCCACCGUCGACACGAGGUGGCCAAUGCCUGGGGAUGGGAUGAACACUAUCUCUACCCAUUGCUUCAUUUUGGGAGAUUUAGACGGGGUGCGUAAGAGUUCUCUGAAGAAGAUAUAAUUUGUGUGAAGGUAUUGCAAUGAAAAGCUAAGCUGAUAGAGAUGUCUAUUUAUAUGAAUAUGCAUGUGGUUAGAUGGUGCUAAAUUAAUUUAGAUAUCACUAAAACUUCAUUAUUUGUCUCCCAAGAUUUAGGUGAUGUCAUGCCUUUGCUGUCAACUGCCAAAUGUUGUUUCUCUUGUUAAUUCAUUUACCUUGCAGUUGAUGCGAAGCUUCAUAGAUACUCAUGUAAGAAAAAUAGGGACAUCACAUUAUCCAAAACGCCUUGGUUGGCACGAAAUCCACGAAUGAUGUAAAAGUAGGAAAGUGAUUUAGUUUUAUUUUCAGAAAAAUAUUAAAUGUAAUUUGUUCAGUUUCUAUCCAGAACGGAAACCCGCUUUGAAAUUAAAGUAUGAGGCUUCUUAUUUAGUUCACUUUGAAGUCACUUUUUCACAUUUUUACUGUUCAAUGUCUAGAAGAUAGUGUGUAGAUUAUUUCUGCAAAUUUUCAAUUAAUUUAGAGAUCAUUUGGAUAUCGAAUUAGAUUAAAUGAAUCAACAGAACAAAAUCUGUCAAAGCAUAACCUUUUGUGUAAUGUACGAUUAUAGAAGCUGAAAUGAUCUUCAAAUUGGAUGAACCUUUGCAUAAAUGAUCUACACACUAUAUGUUAUAGACAUUGAAUGGUGAAGAUAUAGAAAUGUGACUUGAAAGUGAAACAAAUAAGUUAGGAGUCUCAAAUUUUAAUUUCAAAACUAGGUUAUGCUCUAGAUAUGAACUAGUAAAUUUGUUUUGGUAUUUCUAUGGGGAUGUUUAAUACAUGUUGGAAACAAAAUACUAGUAUUAAUUCAUAUUGUAGUGUUUGGUAAGUCAUAAAAAUGAAAUACAAAAUUUUAAUUUUCAAUAACGCCCCUUCAUAAUCUCCAAAUACAUAAUUAAAUUUUUAGAUGGAUAAUAGAAUAUCCACCCCUAACAAGAUAAUUUAAUUAAAGCUUUAUGAGGGAGUCAAUUUCUAGUCGGAUCUAUUUUUUUGUUUCCUUUCCAGUUUUUAUUUACAACCAAUCAACCUCUUAAUAUAGAAAACCAUAUUAAUUCCUAUUGCAUACCAUGAUUUCCUACCAACCAAAUGGGGGCCUUAAAGAAUUAUCAGAUGAGUUCAUAUUAGGUAAAUAACAGAAUUAUAUGAUUAGAAAUCCUAGUUAUUCUCUAAGGUAUAUAUCUAUUUAAGUAGGAGACUUGUGUAUUGAUAACCUGAUCGACAUGAAGGUAUUGUGAUAUAUAUGUUUAGAUGUUAUUCUGAUAAGGAUGAAAUCAUUACAACUAGGACUCCUUAUUAGUACAAAUUGUGAUCCUUGGCCAAUAUAUUAACAGAUGAAACAGAUGAAAGUCCCCAAGUUCAACACAGUUCCUUGCAUUCAUAUCAGUCUCAUUCUGCAGCAAAUUCAUGUUGAAAUUUAGAAGGCUAUCUCUCGAUCUCGCUGACUCAAUGGUAGGAUUUGCAGCACGCGCUGACUAUGGAUGCUCAAGCCUUGGAGCACUUGGAUCUGAAGGAGUUAGUUAUCCUAUUGGAACUAGGAAACUCCCAACUGUAUUGUUUCUGGUUUAAUUUGAGUUGUAUGAAUGUAUUUGUGAUUGUGUAAAAUGAUGACCUUGCAGUUCAGUUUUGCUAUCCGAUGGCUCACAUUGAGCUAGAGGUGGUUGAGAAAUAUAAUCAUUUUAAAGAACUUAGACAAGAAUUUAAACUUGUGUAUAAUUUUUCUAUAUUAAUAAUCAGUAUUCAAUCUAACGCACAAGCAGUUGUUGUACUUCGAGAAGAGGGAUCGGGGUCCUCAAGAGUGGAAUGAAUUUGUACGUGACCUUUACGAAAGUUAAACAUCAUAUUUAAGGUUUGAUUGGUCUCCAGUCAAAUUACGUAGGAGAAUUGGAUAUGGGAUUAUGAUAUCUAUGAUACAGAUGAUUUGUCUGUUCAAUUUGUAGAGCAUCUCGCUUACUAAACAUAGCUAGAGACACGAGCAGUAUGUUAAAACAGUACAGCUAGCAUGCACUUUUCAAACAGAAAAGAACUAUCCACCAUGUUCACAUAUCAUAAGAAUGAAACAGUACUCUCAAAUUCAAUCAUGAAGAAAUAUAAUAUGACACACUCAUUGGUAGUUAAUGAUCAUAGAACAAUAUGAAAGCUUUCCGAUCCCCAAAUCUGAUCAUAAGCUUUAAAUUUGAUCAAUAAAGUGUCCUAACGAAGCAUAUGAGGAACCCCCAUCCAUCAAAGCUUUCUUGCUAUUAUCACUCACUUGUCUCACUCUCUUCCUUAUAUCACUAUCGAGCUCCAUCAGCUCCUUUAUUCCACGCUCAAUUUUCUCUGCGGUCACAACAACCGGACCCUCCUCCCUAUAACUCAUAUCAAUUUCCACGGCUAUCCCUAGUUCCUUCACUAGCUGGAAUGCAUUGACUUGCUGCUCGGCAUACAAGGGCCAAGUGGCAACCGGGACUCCGAACCACAAGCUCUCCAGAGUUGAAUUCCACCCACAAUGGGAGACGAAACCUCCAACUGCUGGAUGUCCUAGGAUGGCAACUUGUGGCGCCCAGCCUAUAACUUUUCCGACUCCCGCCGUCCGAUCAAGGAACCCUUCAGGUAACACUCCUGUGUGAUCGGCAUAGUCGCUGGGAACACCAUUCUUUCCCUUGGGUGGAGGCUGACGUAGUGACCACAGAAACCGAAACCCUCCCUGCUCCAACGCGCAGGCAAUCUCUUUCACCUGGUCUUCGCUGAAGCUUCCCAUGCUCCCGAAGCACAGAAACACUACAGACGAUGGAGGCUGAUCAUCGAGCCAAUUCAAGAUAUCAGACUUCUGCUUCGAAUUCACUUGAUCAUUGUUGUCAUCGCUCUUCAGGUUGAGUAUGGGUCCAACCGGAUACACAGGAGGGAGCUUACCAUCAGAACUGAGAGAAAGAAGGGCAUGCGACUCCAG
rnacentral:lncRNA from 1 species